UAUUUACUCCCUCUGUUCGGAAUUACUCGUCCAAGAAAUGAAUGUAUCUAGAUGUAUUUUAGUUGUAGAUACAUCUAUUUUUGUGACAAGUAAUUCCGAACGGAGGGGGUAGAAA
rfam:Triticum urartu cultivar G1812 contig345283, whole genome shotgun sequence.